UGCCGUGAGGUGUCGGCUUAAGUGCCAUAACGAGCGCAACCCCCACCGACAGUUGCUAACUGGUCAAGCAGAGGACUCUGUCGGGACUGCCGGCGCAAGCUGCGAGGAAGGCGGGGAUGACGUCAAAUCAGCACGGCCCUUACGUCCGGGGCGACACACGUGUUACAAUGGCAGGUACAGCGGGAUGCCAUGGGGCGACCCAGAGCGGAACCCGAAAACCUGUCUCAGUUCGGAUUGGAGUCUGCAACCCGACUCCAUGAAGCUGGAUUCGCUAGUAAUCGCGCAUCAGCCACGGCGCGGUGAAUACGUUCCCGGGCCUUGUACACACCGCCCGUCAAGCCAUGGGAGCCGGGGGUGCCUGAAGGCCGUGACCGCGAGGAGCGGCCUAGGGUAAAACUGGUGACUGGGGCUAAGUCGUAACAAGGUAACCGUAA
rnacentral:rRNA from 1 species